GAGAGAGGCAAGAACGUUAUUUCUAUUCCACGGAGAACUGGUUCUACCAUUGGAAGAGGCGAGCGCGCGCCGCGCGUGCCACUCGCGUGUGUCACGUGUCCCUACAGAGAGGUAACAGGCAAAGAGGUAACAGGUAAGCGGCAAGGCUGGAACCGCAGGCUGCAGCUGCAUUGUGAACGUUCACGCGCGCCUUUUCUCUCGUGGUACCGUGAUAAGCUGCAAUUAAAUUGAUUGGCUCGCGGAAUUCAGCUGCGAACACACACACCGGAAUAUGCAUUUAUGCCGGGGUCAAAGGUUGCCACGAAGGGAACCGCAAACGCGCGAGAAAAGUGUUGAGACCUUGAACGAGAGCGUGAGUGCCUCCGCUCUCGGAAUUGAUGCAAUAAGAAAUAGUUUAAGAGAUACGAGCUUAGAAAGGGUUCGUUUUUACUCGAGCGUUUAUCUGUCGUGGUAGAGGAAUGUUGACCGAAGUCUAAGGCGAUAAAUAGUACUCAGAUGCCAGAGACGAUAUACUUUGAGCAGUACUAUGCCCUGUAUAUUUUACCAUUAUUCGUGAUUCGUGUGAAUUUAUACAGAAAUCUUGUUUCUUUAUCUUUAAUAACAGGAUUUUCAGAUUUCUAACUGUUAAUCUUUUCAUUAUAUCGAGUCUUUACUAUUGCAUCAAUUUCUCAAGAAGCAAUAGAUUAGUACAGAUAAUAAGGGAAGAACGAGUGUUAAGCUGUCUUCUUUAUGAAUAUUAUGUUGCAUUAAUAUUAGUGUAUACGUAUAUAUUAAUAAGUCAGUAUCAUUAAUUGCUUUACACUCUACGUUCAAAAUUAUUAAUGUAUUUACACCCAUAGCGUAUCUCUAUUAAUAUAGUUUCAACAAAAUGACGAUAAUGGUCGAAUAAAUCG